rnacentral:rRNA from 1 species
UCCCAGACUCCUACGGGAGGCAGCAGUGGGGAAUAUUGCACAAUGGGGGAAACCCUGAUGCAGCGACGCCGCGUGAGCGAUGAAGUAUUUCGGUAUGUAAAGCUCUAUCAGCAGGGAAGAAGAUGACGGUACCUGACUAAGAAGCCCCGGCUAACUACGUGCCAGCAGCCGCGGUAAUACGUAGGGGGCAAGCGUUAUCCGGAUUUACUGGGUGUAAAGGGCGUGUAGCCGGGCUGACAAGUCAGAUGUGAAAUUCCGGGGCUCAACCCCGGACCUGCAUUUGAAACUGUUGGUCUUGAGUAUCGGAGAGGCAGGCGGAAUUCCUAGUGUAGCGGUGAAAUGCGUAGAUAUUAGGAGGAACACCAGUGGCGAAGGCGUCUUACUGGACCGAAACUGACGUUGAGGCUCGAAAGCGUGGGGAGCAAACAGGAUUAGAUACCCCCGUAU